CAGUCGCCGCGGUAAUACGUAGGGUGCAAGCGUUAAUCGGAAUUACUGGGCGUAAAGCGUGCGCAGGCGGUUUGUUAAGACAGAUGUGAAAUCCCCGGGCUCAACCUGGGAACUGCAUUUGUGACUGGCAAGCUAGAGUAUGGCAGAGGGGGGUGGAAUUCCGUGUGUAGCAGUGAAAUGCGUAGAUAUGCGGAGGAACACCGAUGGCGAAGGCAGCCCCCUUGGCCAAUACUGACGCUCAUGCACGAAAGCGUGGGGAGCAAACAGGAUUAGAUACCCGGGUAGUCCCUGUCUCUUAUAC
rnacentral:rRNA from 1 species